AGAGAAGCCACCUCCUGGUCAAUAAAUACCGGGGCUGUCUGACUAGGGUCUGCAGCUGCCUGAAGGAGCAACCUCCACAGCUCUCCCUUGGUGAGUGAGAAUGCCGCCCUAGCUGGAGCUCUCUUUGGGUGCAUGGCACAAUGUCCCUCUUUCCUAUUCCCAAGCCCUUCCACCCCUUUUCCUUUUUCCCCCAAUUCUAUUAAUCUCUUCCUGAGCUUGUCACUCCUGGCAUGAGAGGGACAGGGGUGGAAACAUUUACUCCAGUCACCACACAUCCAUUCCAUAUCCCCAACUACCAAAGAAGAGAGAUAACAGGCCACAGAGAAAAGGAGCAGAAACUCAGGUGCUCCAAAUACCCUACUCUGCCACUUGACUUAUGGAGAAUUCCCCUGACCAUCCAACCAUCUUCCCAUCUAUUGGCCUGAAGUCUAUUCCCCUCUUAAUCUUCCACUUCUAGAACUUCCCAAAGGAAGGAGGGAUGGGCCUGGCUAACUAAGAGGGCCCUCAGAACUGGGGAGGGAGCCUGUGCUCCAGAGCUCUGGGGGAGGACUGGCGCAGAGGGAAAGGCUUUGGAAAAUAAUAAGCUGCCCUGAGAUGCAGUGUCAGACUUUUGAGUGCUCUCCACUGUCGUACAGAGCAGUGCUGCCAUGGCUAGCUCUAGAUUAGGCCUUCUGCUGCUGCUCCUACUGCUGCUGACUGUCCACCCUGGACCCUCGAGGGCUCAGCACUGGUCCUAUGGCUGGUACCCCGGAGGAAAACGAGCCUCCAGCUCACUCCAGGACCUCCCAAGUGCUUUUAGGUCCUCAGGUUGGUGAUAGGUCUUCCCAGCUUGAGUGGGAAGAAGACAAUGCUGGUUCCUGGGGUUAGGGAGGUGGGGGCAGGUGCCUUUGUUCCCUUCUGAGGAAGGGUCUUAUGCCCUGCAGCUGGCAACCCAACCCAGGCUGCCGAUAGCCUACCAAAUGAUGCACUGGCUCCCCCUGAGGAUCCAAUGUCUUGGAAGGGCAGGACCAUGGCCCGCUUGUCCCUCCACAGGAACCAGCACCUGGUGUAGACCCUAAUGGUGAGUGUGGUAAGAGGUCCCCUUCGGUCAAGACUAUCCAUGGGUCCCCUUUGGCCAUCCUGCCUGGGGACUGGGGAGUGUGAAAUACCACUGGGAUGCCCCUUUCCCCAGUAGAACAACGGUAUUAAAAAGGCCCAUAUAAAAGAGUGGUAGCUGUGGUGUUCCCUAGACUUCAUGACAGCCAAGUCGGUGUGUUUCAAGGUGGGCAGGCCCUCUGGCCAGAGGGAAGAGGGAAGGAGUGCACCUCACACAGAGCUCAAAGAGCCAAAUGAUCACUGACUUGGACUCGGAACAACUCAGUGACUGUAGACCUCCCCAAGACCAUAGAAGAAUACAGGUGUAGGAAAAUGAGUUAUUACUAGUUGCAAAUAGAACACAUGUAAAGUGCACCAGGGGUGCACAUUAACUAAAGGAGGAAGUGGUAAAUUCCUAGGAGGCACAGCCUUAUCGCCUAAUUUAAGUGAUGUUAGCUCGGGCUUUGACACAUCAAGCUUGCUUGGGGUGAACAGGGUCACGGGCUGGAAAUCCCCAAGCUGGGUUCUCAGGCUCCUGUAGGAGCCGGGUGCAUCCGAGCAACGUGAAAGCAGGUCAAAUGACCAGAUGGCAGGAGGGAAGGGGACCGAGCAGCCCGAGGUAUGACCACCCCUCUCCCUUCACAGAACGCAGCCCGAGCGCCCCGUCCAGCCAUCCUUCAAUAAAAGUGUGAAGUUUGCGAAGCUGUUGCCUCGAGCUCUUUCCUUCAUCCCCUCCCAAUCCCACUCCCCCAGAAACUCCCUAAUGG
rnacentral:lncRNA from 1 species